rnacentral:rRNA from 1 species
UACCAGCACCCCGAGUGGUCGGGACGUUUAUUGGGCCUAAAGCAUCCGUAGCCGGUUCUACAAGUCUUCCGUUAAAUCCAACUGCUUAACAGGUGGGCUGCGGAAGAUACUAUAGAGCUAGGAGGCGGGAGAGGCAAGCGGUACUCGAUGGGUAGGGGUAAAAUCCGUUGAUCCAUUGAAGACCACCAGUGGCGAAGGCGGCUUGCCAGAACGCGCUCGACGGUGAGGGAUGAAAGCUGGGGGAGCAAACAGG